rnacentral:tRNA from 1 species
GUCCAGGUCGCCUAAUGGUAGGGUAUUGGUCUGCAAAACCUCCCCCAGCGAGUUCAAUUCUCGCCCUGGACUCCA